UACGAAGGGUGCUAGCGUUGUUCGGAAUUACUGGGCGUAAAGCGCACUCAGGCGGAUUUAUAAGUCAGGGGUGAAAUCCCGGGGCUCAACCUCGGAAUUGGCUUUGAUACUGUCUAUCUUGAGUUCGGGAGAGGUGAGUGGAAUUCCUAGUGUAGAGGUGAAAUUCGUAGAUAUUAGGAAGAACACCAGUGGCGAAGGUGGCUCACGGGCCCGGUACUGACUACCGUGUGCGAAAGCGUGGGGAGCAAACAGG
rnacentral:rRNA from 1 species